UACGAAGGGGACUAGCGUUGCUCGGAAUCACUGGGCGUAAAGGGCGCGUAGGCGGGCUCUUAAGUCAGGGGUGAAAUCCCGGGGCUCAACCUCGGAACUGCCUUUGAUACUGCAAAUCUCGAGUCCGGAAGAGGUGAGUGGAAUUCCUAGUGUAGAGGUGAAAUUCGUAGAUAUUAGGAAGAACACCAGUGGCGAAGGCGGCUCACUGGUCCGGUACUGACGCUGAGGUGCGAAAGCGUGGGGAGCAAACAGG
rnacentral:rRNA from 1 species